UCUUCCUCAUUUUCUCCCUUUCCUCUCUCUCUCUCUCUACCCAAGACUUCUCUCUCUACCCACUAGCAGGCAAACGCCGCUGUAGUCGUCGGAACCCGGAUCUCAACCAAAAUUUCCAGAUUUUCUCCUCUUCCUCCCCUCUUUCCAUUUCUCAAACCAAAAUCAAGAAAUUUAGCCAUUUAAGCCUCCAAAAACCCUAGAACCCGAAGCUAAAAUAGGGGUUUUUGUGAUUUCUUCUUUCCAAGCUCAAAUCACGGUAAUCUUCCUUCUAAUAUAGCCUCUAUUCAUCCGAUCUAUACCUAUUUCUUACUAAAUCCGAGUUUUUGAUUUUGAUUUGUGAUUUUGUUUGCAUGAAUCCUAUUUUCCCUAAACCAAGAGGCUAGGCUACGGGUUUGGCAAGGAUUUGUGGUAAGGAUCUAUCCAUGCAACCUUGUUUUCGAGUUUUUGGUUGUGAUAUUGAUGUUGGACGGAUUUGUAGGUGAAGAAGGCCAAGGAGAAGGAUUAGGCCGUGAGUUUUGAAGAAGAAAGGGAAACAUGAUCGUUAAGGAAGCUUAAGCGGGAAGUACCAGAGUGUGGAAUACGCCGGCAUUUUUCAGGUUACAAUGAGGUCAUUCUGGACAAUUUGGAUUAGAAGUGGGUCAUUAGCCGAGUUCGUGUGUUGCUGUUCCUGUUGCUUGAAGUUCUUCCCUGUUGGUACUUUAUUGAUUUACUCACUUCUCUUUCAAUGUUGAACUCUGUGAGGUCCGCCUACAUGGGAGCGCGCCUCACCCCUUUGUUUUAUGGUUAUUGUUGAACUCCUUUCAUUUCGGUUAUGAUGUAAGCCCUAAGGCGUCACAGUGCACUUGCCCAUUUUAUUUUGAAGCAUUUCCGGACUUGUUA